GAAUUUCUCCUUACUUUUAAUAUAACUAGGCAUUGUGUGAUCAAAGCAAAAUAAAUAUGUUCUUGUUUCUGGAAUUACUAAAGCUUUGAAAAUGGACUUAUCGACCUCAAACCAAUGGGACAUAUUCCUAUGUGGCCUUCUCCCGUGUUAGGGUUCCCAGGGUAUGUCUUUAAUGUCUGGUUUAAUAGAAGAAAACUUGGUUCUCCUUUCUGCUUCUAUGUUUAAUUUCUUGUGACAUCCCACGUCAGGUAGCCUCUGGGAAACUCCAAUUAUACUUGUGAGAGAAUUAAAGUGGAAAAGCUGGGCAGAUGUGCCUGAGACAGGUUUGACCAGGCAACUGAAAAGAUAUCCCUAAGAGAAGACAAAGCAAAGGUAUGAAAGGAACACACGUCCCUGACUGACUAGGAGGAACAGAGCUGCCUGCUGUCUGGAACCGCUUCCUCCCAGACUAAGUGAGAAAUAAACUUCUGUUUUCUAUA